ACGGGGUGCAGCAGGCGCGAAAUCUUCACAAUGUGCGAAAGCACGAUGAGGGAAUCCCAAGUGCUAGCACGUAAGUGUUAGCUGUUUCUUAGUCUAAAAAACUCAGAGAGUAAGGGCUGGGUAAGACGGGUGCCAGCCGCCGCGGUAAUACCUGCAGCUCAAGUGGUGGCCGCUAUUAUUGGGCCUAAAACGUCCGUAGCCUGUUUAGUAAAUGCUUGGGUAAAUUGUGUAGCUUAACUAUACGAACACCGGGUAGACUGCUAAACUUGGGACCGGGAGAGGCUAGAGGUACUCCUAGGGUAGAGGUGAAAUUCUGUAAUCCUAGGGGGACCACCAGUGGCGAAGGCGUCUAGCUAGAACGGGUCUGACGGUGAGGGACGAAGCCCUGGGGCGCGAACCGGAUUAGAUACCCGGGUAGUCCAGGGUGUAAACGCUGCUUGCUUGAUGUUAGUUGGGCUCCGAGCCCAACUAGUGUCGGAGAGAAGUUGUUAAGCAAGCUGCCUGGAAGUACGUCGCAAGAC
rnacentral:rRNA from 1 species